rnacentral:lncRNA from 1 species
CCUUCGCAUUUAAAACCCUCACAUAUUGUGUUCAAAAUAAAUGUAACAUAAUUCAAACUUUCAAUGUUAAUGUCGUUUUUAAUUCGACUUUUUGGUCUCUAUCUUUCAUUUUUUGUAACUUUUCACCAUCCUAUUCUUGAUUCUGUACGAAUCAAUAAGCAUAACAUCACUCACAACAUAGGAACCAAUAGAAGAAUUCUCAAAUUAAAAUCAACAAAUCCCCCGAAACACACAGAAAAAUAAAAUAUAAAAAACAAAAAUUAUCAAAGGUUGCUUUAAUUCAAAUCAGCUCUCUUUUUUAAAAAUGUUAAACCCCAACCUUGAGGGCUCUCAUCGCCCCUCCCCCCAGAACUUUGUGAGGGAGGUAAAUCGCGAGAUGUGCUCCAACAGGCCAGGAAAUAAGAGCUACUUGUACACUACGCUUACAAGGAGUCCAAUUCUAUAUUUCAGGAAUCGAACCCCCACACUGCGGCUGCCAACAAAUCAGCUCUCUUUUUUCCUCGCAAUUCUGGGAAAUCGGAUCACAACUUCAAAAUCAAGCCCCGCUUCAUAUGCCUACGCAAAAGUAAAAAUGACAGUAAAAAAAACCACAAGAGAAAAGCGAAUUAAAGAAAUUUGAUGAAAAAGAAUGACAAAAUAAAAUGAAAUGCUGAUCUGGGAUUUAAAAGGGAGCACUUACUUAUUACAUUUUGAGAUGUAAAAUUAGUAAUCAAACUACUAAAAUCGACUUUUUCCAAACCUCUCCAAAAAUAAAGGAUUCGGCAAUAACAAAUGGCCUGCAAAUAUAUAGUUAUAGAGAAUAAGCAAAAGUCUACCUUGAGCAAAUAACUAAAAGGAUAAAAAAAAGUCUAUUACAACACAUUAAGGGGGUUUUUUCUUGAAGCUCCAAUAUUAAAACCAUCAGGUAAAAUUACAGGAGAACAAACACACAGGCGCAUAUUAAUUUAUUGCUAAUUAAAAUUUAAAAUGCAAAAGUGAAAUUCUAAAAAAUUAACACUAAAGCUGCAUCUGCUCCUGUACAAAAUGCUCUCCCUCAUCCUUAUUGAGUUAAACGCCUGAUCUUUAGUCCCAUCACAAUUUACACACAAUCAAAAUCUGCGAAGACAUGAGUUAAACUCCUUUCUUCAUUUCUUUAAUAAAUAAAAUAAUCAACAGUUAUUUGUUGAAUUGGGUUCAAUGAAUAUAAUAUUAAUAAAUUCAUUCUCUUUCUUAGUGGGUUGGAUUUUAAUUGAAUUUUGUUGAUUACCGUAGUUCGAAUAGAUUAAUGGAAUGCCCCUAUUAUGAUUAUUGCUUCUCUCCAUCGCUAAUGGCAUAUCAAAUUAUAAAAUCUUGAUGCAAUGAACUCACAAGUUUUGAAACAAAUAUAAAUGAAUUUAUGCCAGUUUUAACAAAGAAAUUCAUAAUUUGAGAGUGAGGGUUUAACCAAUAAAUAAUUUUACCUGGUAAAAUUUUUCUCUCCUCAUAUUCCAUUGUUUAUCUCAAACUUUGUGACCGAAUCCACCGUCUGUGUAUAGGAUUUACAAAAGAAGAGAAUAUCCAUGGCUAUAUUUCAAGUGAGGUUUUUGCAAAGGGGAUUCAAAUCACAAAAAGAAAUUGACGAAAACGUGAAGAGAAGACAACUGCCAACAGGUUCUUCAGAAAUCAGAUUUGUAGACUAAAAAUUUAACGGAAUAUAGAGAUUUUUUGGUGGAGAAUGAAGAUGCUUGCCGGUUGGAGUCUUGUAGAAAAAGACGGUGAUUGUUUGUUUCUCAUUGCUCAAAUUUUUUUAUUUUUUCUAAGGGAUUUGAGGGGUUUUGGAUUGGGGAGUUUCUAGGCUUUCUUUCUUUAUUAGAGGCCCCUUUCUUUAUUAGAGGCUCCUUAAAAUAUGAAGUCCAAGGCAAUGGCCUUGCUUGUCUUGGGCUAGGACCGGCCCUGAUGAGGAUGUAAGUGUAAAUGUGUAAUACCCAUUUCUGAAAAACGAAAAUAUACUAUUCUCGACCUAAAAUGCUUCAAAUUUUUGUGACCGAAUCCACCGUCUGUGUAUAGGAUUUACAAAAGAAGAGAAUAUCCAUGGCUAUAUUUCAAGUGAGGUUUUUGCAAAGGGGAUUCAAAUCACAAAAAGAAAUUGACGAAAACGUGAGGAGAAGACAACUGCCAACAGGUUCUUCAGAAAUCAGAUUUGUAGACUAAAAAUUUAACGGAAUAUAGAGAUUUUUUGGUGGAGAAUGAAGAUGCUUGCCGGUUGGAGUCUUGUCGAAAAAGACGGUGAUUGUUUGUUUCUCAUUGCUCAAAUUUUUUUAUUUUUUCUAAGGGAUUUGAGGGGUUUUGGAUUGGGGAGUUUCUAGGCUUUCUUUCUUUAUUAGAUGCCCCUUAAAAUAUGAGGUCCAAGGCAAUGGCCUUGCUUGUCUUGGGCUUGGACCGGCCCUG